GCAUUUCAAUCAGAUCUGAAAUAAUAAUUAUACCGAUAUUAUGAUAAGACAUUAAGCAUAUCAUCAUUUCAAAUUAUCUGUUGAUCACUGCUAAAUGUAAUAUCUAGCAUAUAUGGUAAUAUAGAACCACAUGGUAUAUCUGAAUAACUACCCAUGGCAUUUCCUUACAAUUCUGAAGUGAAUGUCAAAUAAAUGAUAGAGAAACAAUUGAAUAGCAAACAAAAUAUAUAUUACAAUGGUAUUAUAGUGAAAAGAAACACAAAUCUUUCACUUGAAACACUUGGAAAACGUCAUCCGACGACAAAGACGACGGCAACGAAUAUGUGAAUACUUUAGCUAUAGAACACGGAAUACUUAAAAUAUUCACGUAAAACAUUAGCACAGUAUCAUCGUAUCACUUUUCUGGACACUAUUAUUAAGUUAAAUACUCACCAUUUUGGAUGGUUUUUGAUUUUUCUUUCAAUAAAAUAAACUACCAUACGCCAGCAAUGGCGUACGCUUGUAAAAGGACCCUUCUUUUCGUGUGCCGGAUAUACCUGCCAGCCGUCAAA